UACGUAGGGUGCGAGCGUUGUCCGGAAUUAUUGGGCGUAAAGGGCUCGUAGGCGGUUUGUCGCGUCUGCUGUGAAAACCCGAGGCUCAACCUCGGGCCUGCAGUGGGUACGGGCAGACUAGAGGUAUGCAGGGGAGAAUGGAAUUCCUGGUGUAGCGGUGAAAUGCGCAGAUAUCAGGAGGAACACCGGUGGCGAAGGCGGUUCUCUGGGCCGUAACUGACGCUGAGGAGCGAAAGCGUGGGGAGCGAACAGG
rnacentral:rRNA from 1 species